rnacentral:rRNA from 1 species
GGGGAAUAUUGGACAAUGGGCGGAAGCCUGAUCCAGCAAUGCCGCGUGUGUGAAGAAGGCCUGAGGGUUGUAAAGCACUUUCAAUGGGAAGGAAAAAAGUCGGGUUAAUACCCCGAUUCUUGACAUUACCUAUAGAAGAAGCACCGGCUAACUCCGUGCCAGCAGCCGCGGUAAUACGGAGGGUGCAAGCGUUAAUCGGAAUUACUGGGCGUAAAGCGUGCGUAGGCGGUUAUUUAAGUCAGAUGUGAAAGCCCCGGGCUCAACCUGGGAACGGCAUUUGAUACUGGGUGACUAGAGUUUGGUAGAGGAGAGCGGAAUUUCCGGUGUAGCGGUGAAAUGCGUAGAUAUCGGAAGGAACACCAGUGGCGAAGGCGGCUCUCUGGACCAAAACUGACGCUGAGGUACGAAAGCGUGGGUAGCAAAC